GCUGAGGACCCGGAGGCUCGUGGUUUGUUUGGGCUGUUGGGGGUGCGCGCACAGCCCGGGAAAAGCGGGAAAUGGCGGCGCCGAGCGCGGGCUCCCAGUCAGCCCUCCAGCCAAAGGAGCAGAUGGCCGCUGAUAGGGGGCGCAGGAUGUUGAGAGGGUGUGGCAUGCAUCCUGACCAUCAGGAAGCUCUCAAAAAGAACCGAGUGGUGUUGGCCAAAGAGCUGCUGCUGAGCGAACUGUUGGAACACCUCCUAGAGAGGGACAUUAUCACCUUGGAAAUGAGAGAGCACAUUCAGGCCAAGACGGGCAGUUUUGGCCAGAACGUGGAACUCCUCAACUUGCUGCCCAAGAGAGGCCCCCAGGCCUUUGAUGCCUUCUGUGUGGCCCUGAGGGAGACCAAGCAGAGUCACCUGGAGGAGCUGCUGCUCAGAACCCUGUCAGGUCUUCAGCCUGUAGUCCCCCCGUUGAGCUGUGACUAUGACCUGAGUCUCCCUUUCCCGGUGUGUGAGUCCUGUGCCCCCCACAAGCGGCUCCGCCUGUCUCCAGAUGCAGUGGAGCACUCCCUAGACCAUGGAGAUGGUCCUCCCUGCCUUCAGGUGAAGCCCUGCACGCCUGAGUUUUAUCAGACACACCACCAGCUGGCCUACCGGUUGCAGUCUCGGCCCCGCGGCCUGGCACUGGUGCUGAGCAACGUGCACUUCACUGGAGAGAAAGACCUGGAAUUCCGCUCGGGAGGGGAUGUGGACCACAGCACUCUCGUCACCCUCUUCAAGCUCUUGGGCUACAAAGUUCAUGUUCUUCUUGACCAGACCGCACAGGAAAUGCAAGAGAAACUGCAGAGUUUUGCCCAGCUCCCGGCUCACCGAGUCACUGACUCCUGCAUAGUGGCGCUCCUCUCCCACGGCGUGGAGGGCAGCGUCUACGGCGUGGACGGCAAACUGCUCCAGCUACAAGAGGUUUUUCGGCUCUUUGACAAUGCCAACUGCCCAAGCCUACAGAACAAACCGAAAAUGUUCUUCAUCCAGGCCUGCCGUGGAGGUGCUAGCGGACCCCCUGGGCACCUCCUUCUGUUCACUGCUGCCACCGCCUCUCUUGCUCUAUGA
rnacentral:lncRNA from 1 species